rnacentral:rRNA from 1 species
GACGAACCGUGCGAACGUUAUUCGGAAUCACUGGGCUUAAAGCGCGUGUAGGCGGGAGGGCACGUCCGUCGCUGAAAUCCCCCGGCUCAACCGGGGAACGGGCGCGGAUACGACCUUCCUGGAGGGGCGUAGGGGGACCUGGAACUUCCGGUGGAGCGGUGAAAUGCGUUGAGAUCGGAAGGAACGCCCGCGGCGAAAGCGAGGGCCUGGACGCCUACUGACGCUGAGACGCGAAAGCCAGGGGAGCGAACGGG